UACGUAGGAGGCGAGCGUUGUCCGGAUUCAUUGGGCGUAAAGAGCGCGUAGGCGGCUUGGUAAGUCGGAUGUGAAAACCCGGGGCUCAACCCCGGGCCUGCAUCGGAAACUGCCCGGCUAGAGGUAGGUAGGGGAGAUCGGAAUUCCUGGUGUAGCGGUGAAAUGCGCAGAUAUCAGGAGGAACACCGGUGGCGAAGGCGGAUCUCUAGGCCUUACCUGACGCUCAGGCGCGAAAGCUAGGGGAGCGAACAGG
rnacentral:rRNA from 1 species